UACGUAGGGUGCGAGCGUUAAUCGGAAUUACUGGGCGUAAAGCGUGCGCAGGCGGUUUUGUAAGUCAGAUGUGAAAUCCCCGGGCUUAACCUGGGAACUGCGUUUGAAACUGGGAGACUUGAGUGUGGCAGAGGGGGGUGGAAUUCCACGUGUAGCAGUGAAAUGCGUAGAUAUGUGGAGGAACACCGAUGGCGAAGGCAGCCCCCUGGGUUAACACUGACGCUCAUGCACGAAAGCGUGGGGAGCAAACAGG
rnacentral:rRNA from 1 species